rnacentral:lncRNA from 1 species
GGAAGUAGUCUGUCCAGAAUUAACAAAAGCUGAGGAAUCUGGGUGACAAGUCAGCAUGUCACACAAAAGGAGAUGUGAUUAAACCUGUGAACAUGACAAUAGCCAGUGUUCGAGUCGUCAAUGGUCUAUGCCAUUGUUGUUGAAGCUAAGCAAGAUGUAGUCAUGCUUUUUGUAUGAGUCUAGUCAUACAUAUAGAGAAUUCUGAAUGGUUGGGCAAUGAAAUAGAAUUGCCUGUUCUUUCGACUUUGGGUUUGUAUGAUCUCUAUAUGACCGGUUGUCAUUUUAGGUUUAAGAGACUGGUGAAAAAGCUUACGGAAUGGGCUUAUUUGGUUUCUACUUAAGGUAGAUUGUACAUGAUCAUGUGUGGGUAGUGCUAAUUGCUAAACAUGAGCUCUUUGAUGGAAAAAUAAGAAAUCUUAAGAGUCCGUUUGGUUAGGGUAUGUCAAAUUACGGAUAAUCUAACAAUUCUUGGGAAUCAUUUAUCUGUGAAUAUAAUUGCGGAGGAAAAUAAUUUUCAUUAUAUUUGGUUGGUGGAAAAAAUCCUUUGAAAAAUAACACUGGAAAAAGAUUACUAUGUUUGGUUGGAAGUAAGUUUAUUUAGGAAUAUGGCCCA